rnacentral:snRNA from 1 species
GUUCAGUACAUGAUGGUACAUU